rnacentral:miRNA from 1 species
UUUUGCAAUUUGUUCCUGAAU